rnacentral:rRNA from 1 species
AACGAACGCUGGCGGCAGGCUUAACACAUGCAAGUCGAGCGCCCCGCAAGGGGAGCGGCAGACGGGUGAGUAACGCGUGGGAAUCUACCCAUCUUUACGGAAUAACGCAUGGAAACGUGUGCUAAUACCGUAUACGUCCUUCGGGAGAAAGAUUUAUCGGAGAUGGAUGAGCCCGCGUUGGAUUAGCUAGUUGGUGGGGUAAAGGCCUACCAAGGCGACGAUCCAUAGCUGGUCUGAGAGGAUGAUCAGCCACACUGGGACUGAGACACGGCCCAGACUUCUACGGGAGGCAGCAGUGGGGAAUAUUGGACAAUGGGCGCAAGCCUGAUCCAGCCAUGCCGCUUGAGUGAUGAAGGCCCUAGGGUUGUAAAGCUCUUUCACCGGUGAAGAUAAUGACGGUAACCGGAGAAGAAGCCCCGGCUAACUUCGUGCCAGCAGCCGCCGUAAAAC